rnacentral:rRNA from 1 species
GACGAACGCUGGCGGCGUGCUUAACACAUGCCAGUCGAACGGAAAGGCCCUGCUUUUGUGGGGUGCUCGAGUGGCGAACGGGUGAGUAACACGUGAGUAACCUGCCCUUGACUUUGGGAUAACUUCAGGAAACUGGGGCUAAUACCGGAUAGGAGCUCCUGCUGCAUGGUGGGGGUGGGAAAGUUUCGGCGGUUGGGGAUGGACUCGCGGCUUAUCAGCUUGUUGGUGGGGUAGUGGCUUACCAAGGCUUUGACGGGUAGCCGGCCUGAGAGGGUGGACGGCCACAUUGGGACUGAGAUACGGCCCAGACUCCUACGGGAGGCAGCAGUGGGGAAUAUUGCACAAUGGGCGGAAGCCUGAUGCAGCAACGCCGCGUGGGGGAUGACGGCCUUCGGGUUGUAAACCGCUUUCGCCUGUGACGAAGCGUGAGUGACGGUAAUGGGUAAAGAAGCACCGGCUAACUACGUG